UCAUUUUACCAACCCUAUGGGUCCCAGAACCUCACUCCAUUCCUUCUUUCAGCUUUUUCCCAGAUAGAGCUACCAUAUCAAAUAUUUAUGUCUCUCCCUCACCCCACUUUCUCUCUCUCCCCACACCAAUCAUUAUUUUUUCUCCUUCCUCUUUUGUCUCAUUCUGCUCACUCUUCUCUUUUCUCUAUCUACCCUCUUCUCUUAUAAUCACUUUUCUUCUGUCCUAUUCUCUUCCAUUAUGCUCUAUUCUCCUUUCACCUCAUUUCAUCUGUUUCCCUGAGUUCUUCUUUGCUUCCCUCCCCAUUCAUCUCUCCUUCUCUCCUUCCCUCUAAAUUUCUUUUUUUUUCCUUCUCUUAUUUUUCUUCUCCCUUUCCCAACUACAGGGUAUACCCAUCAGAUACCAACCACCACCACAAACACCUGGAGACCCAGUCUAGAGGCUUUCACCCUGAACUUCACCAUCACCAACCUGCUGUACACAGAAGACAUGGGGCAGAAGGAUUCCAUCAAAUUCAAGUCCACUGAAAAGAUUCUUCAGAACAUGCUUGGCCCUUUGUUUGAGAACAGCAGCCUUGGCUCCAGUUAUUCCAGGUGCAAACUGACUUUCCUAAGGUGAGGC